rnacentral:rRNA from 1 species
GACGUAGGGCGCGAGCGUUGUUCGGAUUUACUGGGCGUACAGGGAGCGUAGGCGGUUGGAUAAGCCCUCCGUGAAAUCUCCAGGCUUAACCUGGAAAGUGCAGAGGGGACUGUUCAGCUAGAGGAUGGGAGAGGAGCGCGGAAUUCCCGGUGUAGCGGUGAAAUGCGUAGAGAUCGGGAGGAAGGCCGGUGGCGAAGGCGGCGCUCUGGAACAUUUCUGACGCUGAGGCUCGAAAGCGUGGGGAGCAAACAGGG